rnacentral:rRNA from 1 species
UACGUAGGGGGCAAGCGUUGUCCGGAAUUAUUGGGCGUAAAGAGCGCGUAGGCGGUCCGAUAAGUCGGCUGUGAAAGUCCAGGGCUCAACCCUGGAAAGCCGGCCGAUACUGUCGGACUAGAGUCCGGAAGAGGCAAGUGGAAUUCCCGGUGUAGAGGUGAAAUUCGUAGAUAUCGGGAGGAACACCGGUGGCGAAGGCGGCGAUCUGGGUAGAUACUGACGCUGAGGUGCGAAAGCGUGGGGAGCAAACAGG